rnacentral:rRNA from 1 species
CAGUUCGGAUUGAAGGCUGAAAUUCGCCUUCAUGAAGCCGGAAUUGCUAGUAAUGGCAGGUCAGCAUACUGCCGUGAAUACGUUCCCGGGCCUUGUACACACCGCCCGUCACACCAUGAGAGUUGGGAAUACCCGAAGCCUGUGAGCUAACUAUACGAGGCAGCAGUCGAAGGUAGAAUCAAUGAUUGGGGUGAAGUCGUAACAAGGUACC